AACCUGCGGAAGGAUCAUUAAUGUGUAUUUCCGACUGUGCGCUCGCGCUGCACGUCGGUACAACACUUUCCACACCUGUGCACCAUGUUCGAUUGGGGAGUUCAUCUCUCCUUUCGCAUUUUUUUAACUUCAUUGUUGUCUAGUAUGUCAUUGAUUAAUUGUAAUACAACUUUCAGCAACGGAUCUCUUGGCUCUCGCAUCGAUGAAGAACGCAGCGAAAUGCGAUAAGUAAUGUGAAUUGCAGAAUUCAGUGAAUCAUCGAAUCUUUGAACGCACCUUGCGCCUUGUGGUAUUCCGCAAGGCACGCCUGUUUGAGUGUCAUGUUAUCACUCACUCUGGAGAAGUCACAUUCUUCGAGAGUGGAUUUGGGCGCUGCUGGUGAUUACAUCGGCUCGCCUUGAAAUGCAUUAGUGGUGUGAUUGGCCACGGACCUGAGGGUGUGAUACUUGAUGUUACGCCUGUGUCGUCUGAGUGCUCGCAUUGCUCAUAACCCGACGUGCUUUCUGCGUGUCAACUUUUUAAUGGAAGACCUCAAAUCAGGUGGGACUACCCGCUGAACUUAAGCAUAUCA
rnacentral:rRNA from 1 species